rnacentral:rRNA from 1 species
GACGAACGCUGGCGGCGUGCUUAACACAUUCACGUCGAACGCAGUGGCGAACGGGUGAGUAAUACGUGAGUAACCUGCCCUCCUUUUUGGGAUAAGCCUUGGAAACGGGGUCUAAUACCGAAUAAAGGGGGAUGGGCUCGCGGCCCGUCAGCUUGUUGGUGGGGUGAUGGCCUACCAAGGCGGUGACUGGUAGCCGGCCUUAGAGGGUGACCGGCCACAUGGGGACUGAGAUACGGCCUAGACUCCUACGUGAGGCAGAGGUGGGGGGUAUUGCACAAUGGGCGAAAGCCUGAUGCAGCGACGCCGAGUGGGGGAUGAAGGCUUUCGGGUUGUAAACCUCUUUCGCUAGCGACCGGGUAGGUGGAGAAGAGGCGCCGGCUAACUACGUGCCGGCAGCCGCGGUAAUUG